rnacentral:rRNA from 1 species
UGCAGUCGGACGGGAUUGAGGAGCUUGCUUCUCAUGAGAGUGGCGCACGGGUGCGUAACACGUAUGUAACCUACCUUGUUCAGGGGGAUAGCCUCUCGAAAGAGAGAUUAACACCGCAUAAAAUCAAUUUAUGGCAUCAUAGAAUGAUCAAAUAUUUAUAGGAACAAGAUGGGCAUGCGGAACAUUAGCUAGUUGGUAAGGUAACGGCUUACCAAGGCUACGAUGUUUAGGGGAUCUGAGAGGAUGACCCCCCACACUGGUACUGAGACACGGACCAGACUCCUACGGGAGGCAGCAGUAAGGAAUAUUGGUCAAUGGACGCAAGUCUGAACCAGCCAUGCCGCGUGCAGGAAGACGGCCCUACGGGUUGUAAACUGCUUUUGUACCGGAAUAAACCUUUUCACGUGUGAGAAGCUGAAUGUACGGUAAGAAUAAGGAUCGGCUAACUCCGUGCCAGCAGCCGCGGUAAUACGGAGGAUCCAAGCGUUAUCCGGAUUUAUUGGGUUUAAAGGGUGCGUAGGUGGCCUAUUAAGUCAGGGGUGAAAGACGGUAGCUUAACUAUCGCAGUGCCUUUGAUACUGAUGGGCUUGAAUACACUUGAGGUAGGCGGAAUGUGACAAGUAGCGGUGAAAUGCAUAGAUAUGUCACAGAACACCAAUUGCGAAGGCAGCUUACUAAAGUGUUAUUGACACUGAGGCACGAAAGCGUGGGGAUCAAACAGGAUUAGAUACCCUGGUAGUCCACGCCCUAAACGAUGAAUACUCGAUGUUGGCGAUAUACGGUCAGCGUCUAAGCGAAAGCGUUAAGUAUUCCACCUGGGGAGUACGCCCGCAAGGGUGAAACUCAAAGGAAUUGACGGGGGCCCGCACAAGCGGAGGA